GUAUCCUGUCUGAAUAUGGGGGGACCAUCCUCCAAGGCUAAAUACUCCUGACUGACCGAUAGUGAACCAGUACCGUGAGGGAAAGGCGAAAAGAACCCCGGCGAGGGGAGUGAAAAAGAACCUGAAACCGUGUACGUACAAGCAGUGGGAGCACAGGUUUACCUGUGUGACUGCGUACCUUUUGUAUAAUGGGUCAGCGACUUAUAUUCUGUAGCAAGGUUAACCGAAUAGGGGAGCCGUAGGGAAACCGAGUCUUAACCGGGCGUUAAGUUGCAGGGUAUAGACCCGAAACCCGGUGAUCUAGCCAUGGGCAGGUUGAAGGUUGGGUAACACUAACUGGAGGACCGAACCGACUAAUGUUGAAAAAUUAGCGGAUGACCUGUGGCUGGGGGUGAAAGGCCAAUCAAACCGGGAGAUAGCUGGUUCUCCCCGAAAGCUAUUUAGGUAGCGCCUCGUGAAUUCAUCUCCGGGGGUAGAGCACUGUUUCGGCUAGGGGGCCAUCCCGGCUUACCAACCCGAUGCAAACUGCGAAUACCGGAGAAUGUUAUCACGGGAGACACACGGCGGGUGCUAACGUCCGUCGUGAAGAGGGAAACAACCCAGACCGCCAGCUAAGGUCCCAAAGUCAUGGUUAAGUGGGAAACGAUGUGGGAAGGCCCAGACAGCCAGGAUGUUGGCUUAGAAGCAGCCAUCAUUUAAAGAAAGCGUAAUAGCUCACUGGUCGAGUCGGCCUGCGCGGAAGAUGUAACGGGGCUAAACCAUGCACCGAAGCUGCGGCAGCGACACUCAGGUGUUGUUGGGUAGGGGAGCGUUCUGUAAGCCUGCGAAGGUGGCCUGUGAGGG
rnacentral:rRNA from 1 species